rnacentral:sRNA from 1 species
CUAAUUUCUAGUCACUCUUUCUCUCUCUAAACUCAGUGACAUUCUCCUCCUUCUUGCUCUGCCUUCUCUCUACCCUUACACUCAUUUGAACCGUGAAAUUUCAAAUAGGUAGUGUGCUUUCGUUCACGGAGUUGAGAGCUUCCCAUUCAUCCGAUUGAAAUUCUGCUUUGGAUGAAUCCUGUUGAACUUGCUUCUGUGCAAGAAUACUGUUUUGGGGUUUCUUCUAAAGAGUGUUGUGCUUGUAACCACUAAGGUAUGUUUCCUAUUGCAAUGAUCAUCCUAAAUUGGAUGUGAGCAGAUGAAGAGGAGAUGUCUGUGGAGCAAGCGCUGGAAGAAGGUGAUGCUGCA